CCCAGAAGACCUGAUGCUUACCUGAAGAGGUAUGAGGGCUGCAGGGGUCAGCUGCUGAGCUGAGGCUGUUUGGAGUGAGUAGUGGCUGGCUUUUGGACCGAGAUCAUCUUUAUGGUGCUGGGAUUGCCUGUGGGCAUGUUCUAUAGGUCUGUCUGGGACUGAAGGUGCAGCUGGUUCAGCCUUCCCUUGUCAGAUGCUCUUCAUUGUAGAUAAAAGCUUUUUCUGAUCAUUCUAGUUCCCAUGGCUGGGAAGGGGUUUAUAAAUGGCAAAGGCUGUCCUGUGGGUCGGCUCUUUGGGAAGUCUCUCAUCUGUCUAUCCCAGGAGCAGGUUGGCAAACCAUCCUCCUUACUUAAAUGUGCUGGCAAGAACAAGCAUCUCUGUGCUUGAACUUCAGCCCACUCAAGGUGGCAGUUCCUGUGGCUGCCCUGUUCUUUUGGAUGAGCUUUGGGAUUUGCUUAGCUGUGGCUGAAGCUCUAACUCUUGCUGGGUAUAGAGAAGUGAGUCCCAGGGCUUGGCUGGGGGCUGCUGGAGCUGCACAAAUCCAGUGCACGCAUCUGCAUGCCUGACCCUGCUUUGGUUAAAGCAGGGGAUUGAGUCCUAUUGUUUGUAGAUAAAAGCUUUCUAUUUCUGCUAUUUCUCAGUUUUCCUAAGUGCUUAUUGCUAAGAAUAACUGCUAUUUCACCUCUUGCCCGCCCUCCAUCAGCUGCUUGGAGCCACCAUUUUAGACGUCAUCUCGAGCUGCAAAGAGUAAGUGAUCUUGUUUUCCAGAGGCCCUGUUUGAAGGAGCAGGAACUGGAUUUUGCCUUCAUUUGCUCUUUAAGGAGCUGCCACAGGAGGAAAGGGCCUGUGUUUGCCAGUUCCUCACAGCCCUUGCUGAGAAGCUGCACCACAGCAAGCGCUGAGAAGGAAUCAAGCAUGCUGGCAUCACACUGGGCUAGUUUUCCUCUUGGAAAUCAAAAGUGGAGCAAAGCCACAACUGAGACAAGAAGGAGUCCUGUGUCUGUCCUCUUGCCUCUGUGUGCUGGCAUCCAGGCUUCAGAUGAAUUUCAUGGUCUGUAAUCAUCCCGGGAGAAUUUCCCUCUUGUUCAUCCUACGGAAGAGAAACUCUCCCAUUUCCACUCGGAUCUUACAAUAGCUUGUCAGUGACAAAACAUUCCCAAAUCCUCUCAUUUAUCAAAUGGCCAAUCCUGUUAACAGCUUAAGAAACAUAAUUACCUGCAAUCUCUUCUGCUAUUCAUUUUAUGCCUACACUUCCCUCUCUCUGGCAGCUUCCCAGCAGGCAAGUCAAGAGCUGAAGCAUGGCUGCAGCUACCAAGUGCUUGAGCAAUGCAAUUUCCUCUAAUCACCUGCACAAUGAUAGCAGGAGUUUUGCUUCCCUGUUUGUAGCAGCAAGGAGCAGGUGAGGAAGGCAGGCAUAGAGCCAAAAGCAUCAGCUGACAGUUGUGGUGUAUCUACAGCUUGUGAGAGACUUUGGCUCAACUCUCAGGGAGGAUUUACAAGAGCAGUGCUUUCAGGCUGGAGAUCUGCUGGCUUCCUGAAUGUUGGGUAUGUACAGGACAGCUUGAUCCAAAGAGAAACCCAUAGGACCACCGUAGCCUACCCUAGACCUGGGAAUUAGAAAAUUCCUAGCUCUGUGCUAUCCAUGCUGGCUGCUGAGGAAGCUGCCUUUGUGCCUUAAAAUCUUGUACUAGCCUGACAUUAUCACUGUGCAUUUAACUGGCCAAGGCAUGCUUCAGCCUACACUCUCCAGUUAGACCUGCCUUCCGUGUGGAAGGGUUUUUCUUACACCUACUCUACUCCUCUUUUCAACCCUGUCAGCUAUUUUGGAUCCUUAGGGGUUGGGAUAAAUGAGGUGCGUUUCUUCCGACACCUUCCAGUGUUAUUUUUAAGCAAUUUUUUAUGCUGCUUGCCAACACUUUAUCCUUACAGUUCUUUGAAUGUUGAAUUAAAAACCCCUAUGAACAAGCUGUAUACAAAUCAGAA